CUUACUGGUCAUCUUAGAGAGGGAAGAGAGCAUGUUAAUAGACAAGGUACAUACUUACUGGUCAUCUUAGAGAGGGGAGAGAGCAUUUUUAUAGACAAACCAGUCAUCUUAGAGAGGGGAGAGUGCAUGUUUAUUGACAAGGUACAUACUUACUGGUCAUCUUAGAGAGGGGAGAGAGCAUGUUUAUAGACAAGAUACAUACUUACUGGUCAUCUUAGAGAGGGGAGAGAGCAUGUUAAUAGACAAGGUACAUACUUACUGGUCAUCUUAGAGAGGGGAGAGAGCAUUUUUAUAGACAAACCGGUCAUCUUAGAGAGGGGAGAGAGCAUGUUUAGACAAACAGGUCAUCUUAGAGAAGAGAGAGAGAGUGUUUAAAGACAAGGUACAUACUUGCAUAUAGGAGGGGGGAGGUGUGUGUUUAUAGAAAAGGCUUUUACUGUUCUUCUUUUACUGUAGUGAUGAAAGCUUUACCCCAUGGGGUAUUGUUAGGGAUAUUCCUAAUUCCCCCUCUGAGGUCCGCCGUUUUCUAGCUAAAAAGGGAGAGGUUAACAAAACGACAAGCAAGGUAAUGCAGGGGUAUUUUUAAAACCCUUCUUCCCCUGCUGUACAGGCUAACACUGAGGGAGGUUAACACAAUCUUUACCACAUGUAGGUUAUGGUAGGGUUCUUCCUAGUGACACGGUCAUAAUACUGAGGGAGGUUAACACAAUCUUUACCACAUGUAGGUUAUUGUAGGGUUCUUCCUAGCGACACGGUCAUAAUACUGAGGGAGGUUAACACAAUCUUUACCACAUGUAGGUUAUGGUAGGGUUCUUCCUAGCGACACGGUCAUAAUACUGAGGGAGGUUAACACAAUCUUUACCACAUGUAGGUUAUGGUAGGGUUCUUCCUAGCGACACGGUCAUAAUACUGAGGGAGGUUAACACAAUCUUUACCACAUUUAGGUUAUGGUAGGGUUCUUCCUAGUGACACGGUUAUAAUACUGAGGGAGGUUAACACAAUCUUUACCACAUGUAGGUUAUUGUAGGGUUCUUCCUAGCGACACGGUCAUAAUACUGAGGGAGGUUAACACAAUCUUUACCACAUGUAGGUUAUGGUAGGGUUCUUCCUAGCGACACGGUCAUAAUACUGAGGGAGGUUAACACAAUCUUUACCACAUGUAGGUUAUGGUAGGGUUCUUCCUAGCGACAC